ACUUAAGGACCACCAGGCCCACUAUUUGAUUUGCACUCAAACAUCUUCUUUAAGUCCU
rnacentral:tRNA from 1 species